rnacentral:rRNA from 1 species
UACGGAGGGGGCUAGCGUUGUUCGGAAUUACUGGGCGUAAAGCGCACGUAGGCGGCUUGGAAAGUUGGAGGUGAAAGCCCAGAGCUUAACUCUGGAACUGCCUUCAAAACUCCCAAGCUAGAGUUCGGAAGAGGAGAGUGGAAUUCCCAGUGUAGAGGUGAAAUUCGUAGAUAUUGGGAAGAACACCAGUGGCGAAGGCGGCUCUCUGGUCCGAUACUGACGCUGAGGUGCGAAAGCGUGGGGAGCAAAC